UAAGUCUGUAGUGAAAGCGUGGGGCUCAACCCCAUACACAUUAUGGAAACUGCUAAGCUAGAGGAUGAGAGAGGUUAUUGGAAUUCCCAGUGUAGGAGUGAAAUCCGUAGAUAUUGGGAGGAACACCGAUGGCGUAGGCAGAUAACUGGCUCAUUCCUGACACUAAGGCACGAAAGCGUGGGAGCAAACGGGAUUAGAUACCCCGGUAGUCCACGCCGUAAACUAUGGAUGCUA
rnacentral:rRNA from 1 species